rnacentral:miRNA from 1 species
UACAUACAUGCACACAUAAGAC